rnacentral:rRNA from 1 species
GNGGACUACUGGAAACCGGAGCUAAUACCGGAUAAGAUAUCGAACCGCAUGGUUCGAUAGUGAAAGAUGGUUUUGCUAUCACUUAUAGAUGGACCCGCGCCGUAUUAGCUAGUUGGUGAGGUAACGGCUCACCAAGGCAACGAUACGUAGCCGACCUGAGAGGGUGAUCGGCCACACUGGAACUGAGACACGGUCCAGACUCCUACGGGAGGCAGCAGUU